rnacentral:lncRNA from 1 species
ACAAUAAUAAGGAAACCUAAAAUCAAGGAGAAAUAACUGCCAGAAUUAAUAAUUCAAAUUCAAAUAUAUUAGAUCUAACAACAAAAACAAAUUCAAAUUCAAAAUAAAUAAUUCAAAUUCAAAUAUUCAAAUUCGCUUCUCUUCUUUGUAAUCCUCUUCCUCACAUUCUUCUUUGAAACCACAACAUUGUCAAUCUUUUUGUUCCUCAAUAAUUUCCCAGCAAUCACUUCAGUUCUUACAUCAGCAACAUUAUCAUUUAAAUCUGCAACAAGCCGUAAUUCCUUAUCAUUCUUUUCCAUCUCUUUCACUGCCCUUUUCCCUCUCUUCUGCACAACAACCGGACUGGAAAUUAAAACCUUAAUCGUGGAUAUUUGAUUUUUUACAAUUUCUUCAUGUCCGAAAAUUUCAAUUCCAAUUUCAUAUCCAAAGGAAAAUAAGAACACUGCAUAGGAAAGAGAGAGAUAAGAGAGUGAAUGUAAUGUUGAUAACCAAACCUUCGUACCAAGAUAACCAAACUUUUAUACCAAGGUAACCAAUCUACCUCCACACCUGCAGUAUGAAUUGGUUACCUUGGUCUGAAAGUUUGGCAACCAACUGCAUGAAGGUUUGGUUACCAACUGCAUGAAGGUUUGGUUAACAACUGCAUUACAUUCAAAAUAAAUUGGUAACUUAAUAAAACAGAAUUGGUUACCUUGGUAUGAAGGUUUGGCAACCAACUGCAUGAAGGUUUGGCUACCAACUGUAUCACAUUCAAAAUAAUUGGUAACUUAAUAAAACUGAAUUAGUUACCUUGGUACGAAGGUUUGAAUACCCACUGCACUAUAAAACAACUGAAGAGGACGUCGGAGAAGCAAUUGAGGUUUCCGGUCGACCAUCGGAGGGAGACGGGGAGUGGAUGAGGAGGGUGGAGGAGGAGGAGGGCCGACCCAUAAUCUUUGUAUUAUUUUGGCAUGAUAGCGGAAGUUGGAGGAGGGCAGAGAGAAAGUGGGAAGUGAGAGGAACGAGGAGAAAUAUGUAUAAUUUUUUGUGUCGGAUAAGCGUACCGUUAGGUUGAAUUAAAGGCUGACGACGACGAAUCAAAUUGAUCAAAGGGAAGAGAAGACGAUGAGAAAGAUAACAGAUGGCUUAAGGUGGGAAGAUUCUGGUUUUCGCAAAGAUAAUUGGGGUUGGAGAGAGAAAGGGAGAUUGUAAUGUAAAGAACGAAGUUUUAUUUUUUUGAUAUUCCCAACCAACACUACUUUAAUUAAUAAUCAAAAAUAAGUAGCCAAAUUCGUGUGAUAUACGUACAAAUAUUUUGGUUUCCGUUAUUAUAAAUCUCUAAAUUAACGAAUCCUAAUUUCAUACUAAUUUUCUAAAUUAAAGAAUCAUAAUUGCACUAAUAUUGUAAAUAAAUAUGGAAGGUGUAUUAAUUAUAUAAAUAUUUUAUGAGUGCACUAUUGUUGUAAUAAUUUUUAAAAAUGUAAUAGAAUAUGUAAUUUAUCCAUAAUUUAAAUAGAUGCUAGGCUAAGCUAUAGGAGGUUGUUAUGGGUCAAGUUGCUGCAAGAGGCAAGGGGGUAAGGUAGCUAAUAUAGGGGCCAAGUAGGGUGUAACAGCUAAGCUUAAUAGAGGCCAACUGACUGCUCUGUCAGGGGGCUGAAUGAGGCCAUAACAUAGCCAGGUACAGGCUGAAGAAAGCCAGCAGUAGAGCCAUGAUGGCUCGCCAAAGUCCAGCCAUAUAUGUCCACACCUUACACCCAAGUUCAGUAGCUAUACCAAUAUACUAAGUGCUAAAAUCAGUAGAAGUCAUCUAGUGAAAGUGUAAGAAUCUGACUGGUAAAGGAGAAGACUUGAUCAAUAAAACAACCAUCAAUCUAUCUAUCUUGAAGUCUAUAAACAAGCAGCCCGACAAGGUAUACUAGUAAAUUGAACCUUUUUCCAUUCCAUUUUGAUGAUUGCAUAGACUGAUUUGUGGUUGGGUGACUUAAAAGGGCUGUUACAUAGAACUUUUGUUAUGGACUUCUUUAUGAUAAUAUUAGUGACUGUUAUGAUAACAUUGUUAUGAUUAUGUGAUAUAUGUAUAAAGACCCUUAGCAAUUAAAUCCAAACGGCUGGUAAAUUAGAUAGGAAAAUGAAUUGUUUCAUAUAAAUAAAUAGCAUGCCUACUAACUGUUUGAUAAAAUGCUAAUGUAGGGAUUGUUAUGGUAUAGAAACAUACUAGAUGUGUGAUAUUCAUGUCUAAAAACAUAUCUAUAUGCUAUCAUAGUAAGAGUAAUGCCUCAAGUAUCAUUCUAUGAUCAAAUGUAUCAUGUUUUAAAGCAAAUUACAUACCAUGAUAGCUUUGUUUAUGAACAAAAAAAAUUAAUUUUUUGAUUGAGUUAGUUAGCUUAAUGUUGACUGUUAUGUCUUGAUUCUAGUGUGGUUUAUAUGCUAUAACAAGGGGUAAAUAUAUCGAAUCUUGAAAGCUAAUUAUAAUGGUGGAGGCUUAAGUUUCAUUUUCAUUCCAAAACAGGACAGUAUGGGCAUGUUUGAAAUAGGCCAGACCAGGCCACUGUUUUGGAGAACUUGUAAGCUAGCUAGAAGGCUUGGUUAUGCACUGAUUAGUGUUUUAAAUACUUGAGCUAUCCGGAUAGAGAGCAUUAUAUUGAAUUUUAUGUACAAAAGUCAGUCUAUGAUCAUGUGAAUACGAGACCAUGCCAUCCUUUGUUAACCAUGUAACUAGCUCAUGCUUUCUAGAGGAAUUUAAAGCCUAUAGAGGACUGUUUUGAACUAAAACAUUAGGCAUUACAUCGGUGUGUUCUUAAGCAUGAAUAUAUAGUAUAUAUACAGUAAAUAUGUGAUGUGAUAAUACUUGUAUUUGAAUACUUGAAACUGUUAUGGUAAGGUGGUACUACAUCAUGCCUAAAAUGACAUAAAUGGACUGUUUUGGAUAUUAGAAAGACAACUAAAUGUUACAAGCAUGAUAAUGGAUUUAGGUUUAUGUUAAUAUCAUUUUUUAAAAGUUGUUUGAAUGCCUAAAGGUUUCCUUUGCCUUCAUGGGGACAUUUUAUGAAAUUAUCGACAAAACUAUGCCUAUGUAUGAACUGUUAUAGAAAAUUUUGGCAACUGAAUUUGUGAGACAGUAUGAAGUCCCUAUAUUGCUUAUAUUUAUCAUUUGAAAUUUGUUCCUUAAGUUAGUUAAGGUCUACAAGGUGUGUUGUGCACAUUCAUGCCUAAAAACCAAUGAAAGUAAGCUUUAAAUAGCAAUGAACACCAAAAUGAAGAACCACCAUACCUGGAUCACAUAGGCAAGUUUCAAUAGUCAUAAUAUGACAUAAGUAAGCUAUUACAAGCUAAAGAAACCAAGCCUAAAUUGUUUUGAGCAUUAGACCAAAAGUGGACUUUUUGUGUAAUUCUUAGCACCUGAACUUAUAAGACUAAAAUGAACUCAUGUAAAGUUGCUAAUGCAUGCUUAUAAUGGUUCCCAAUCAUUGCCAUGACCAAAGCUUGUAAGAAAACCAAGUUAAGAUUUAUUUUCAAGCCUAAAGUGAGCUUUGAUAGGUCAAAAUUGUCUAGAUGAUUGAAUAAAGUAUGGUGAUGCUAAAAGUAUCCUUAAGUAGCUUAAAUACACAUGUCUAGACUAUCCUAUUGGCCAAAACUGGAAAAUUUUGGAAAAAGUUCAAAAACAAUUAAUUUUUGUAAAAAAGUUAUAAUAAAACUGCCCAGUUGGAGCCCUAUUUUGGGAAGCCUAAUUGGCAUGAAUAAGAAACCUAAAACUUGACUAAAAUACCUUGAUGUAUGUUCUAGAUGCAGGGAAAAACGGUUGAACCAAGAACUUAACCCAGAAAUUUAAACAAAUCAUCAAACCAACCUACAAAAUAAACAAAACUGCAUAUUCUGCAGAUUUUUUGAAGUGUAAAAUUGGGAUUUUGCCAUUUUACUUAAAUCUGAGUUUUAACACCUUAGACAAAUGAGUUAGAGGUGUCCUAGGUUAUUCCAAGUGUUGGAAUGCUAAUGUAUACAAGAACUUGAGAAAUUAGUAUGUAAAAGCUUGAAAAAACUAUGUUUAGAAGGUCAAAACCAAAUAUAUAUUUAGCAAAGUCAAGGAAAUACUAAAACUAGUCUUCACUAGUAAUAAUUCAAGUGUUGGAAUGAACCCAAUAGGCCAAAAAUGAAAAUGGCAAGUAUUGACCAAAGUUAGUAAAAGUUAAAACUGUGAUAAACAACCUAGUUUGAGCAUUAGUUUCGAGAAACAUAAAAGGCUUACUUGAGUAACCAAACCAACACAAAAAUACCUUGGUAUACAGUCUAGAAGUAUGACCAUAGUUCAUGUGUAAAAGCCUAAUACAAAAAAUUAUAAAAAUCAUCAAAGAAGCCUUGAAAAUCAUAAAAACUGCAGAUUUUGCUGGGUAAGAAAAGGUGUGAAACAGGCCAUUUGGGGCCUGUUUUUGAAUUUCUUAAUUAACUUGAUAGUUUUAAAGACCUAAACGAAGAAUAAAAUAUUUUCGUAUGUGUUCUAUAAUAUUGUACAAAUAGAAGGUUCAAAAGGUUACUAUAGAAAUUACUAAAAAUCGUCAAAAGUACCUCAAAAAUCAUAAUUUUGUGUUUUUGAGUUAUAUUUUAAAAUUGAAAUUUAAGGCUUGUAAAUGUCUUAGCACGACUAAAUAAAAUAAUAAAAGUUUUUUAUGAUCUAAGAUCUAUAUCAUGACAUGUUUGAGGUUUAUCAAGUAUGCUUUGGGAUGUAUCUAAGCUAUAAAUAAGUUGUUUGCCUAUGUGAACUAUUUAUAAUAAAGUGCUAUAUAUGUAUGUACUAAACUGUGAAAAUGAAUGGUGUCAAGCUAAGUGUUUAUGUGUGCUUAACUGUAUUUGCAAAUAAAAGCUAUCUAUGUGAUGGUUUAAUGUUAGUAAGUAACUUAUCUAAUAGUUAUUGAAUACAACUUCAAUAACCAUAGUUGAGCUAUGUAAAUUAAUAAAGUACACUUUGUGCUAAAAGAAAAUUAAAUAAACCAAUACUAGAUAUAUGUAGGCUACUCAGUGGCAAAGCACUUUCUUAAAAAGUUUAAUCAAAGCGAAAGGCAAGUAUAUCAAACCUUUCUCUCAUAACUAUGUUUAUAUUAUAGUAUUCAACUCAAAAGCUAUCUUUUCAAGUUAUUCAACUUAUUAUACUAUAAUGCUUCAAAUGUUGAAAAAUAUUGAUAUUAUUCAUUCAUGAUAAUCUCAUUUAAUGUUCUCCAAACCAUUUUGUUAUGGUGCAGACUCUUAUAUAAUGUUAUGAUUGAACAACCCUUUUAUGGGGCAUAAGACCGGACAUGAUUCCGAAGGACAUGUAAUGUGUCAUUAGAUUGUUAUGUUGUGCACAAUAUAGGGUACUUAGGUUCAUCCCCUAAAGUACAAGUCUAGGAUAUAGUUCAGUUUUAAUAAUUGUUUGUAUACAUGGAUUGCAGUUUUAGUACUGUCAAUUCUAGUACAGAGUUUGCUGGUUAUUUGACCUUACAACAUGCUAAAGUCUGAUUCUUAAACACACAGCUUUUGAAAGGAUUUUUUUUCUCAGUAUCUCAUUAAUUAAUUCAUUAAUUAUAUAUGUAUAUUUCUAUUCUAUUAUAUUCAAAUGUUUAUUUCCUUGCUGAGCAAGCUUUUGCUCACCCGUGAAAUAUAAUGUUUUCAGUUAAAACCAAGCCCGCUGGUACGUCCGGAAAGGAUAAGGGAAAAUGCAAAGUUGCAGAAUAAUUUGUUAUUAAGCAUAUGUGUUUAAAUGAACUUUAAAUAGUUAUUGUAAUAACUACCUUUAGUAUUAUGUUUUGUAAUAUUAUUUGGUAUUUAAGUUAUGUAAAGUUCUAUAGAACUUGAGAUUUAAGCAAGAUAAUAUGUAAUCUAAGACAAGUUUAAAUUAGUAAUAUGUUGGGAUGUAUGGAUAUGAUAGUAUUGUGAGCACCAAACCCGAUCAAGAUAAAGGUAACCCGAAUUUGGGGGUGUCACAAUAUAUGUUAUAAAUGUAUAAUUAUCCAAUUUUGAUUAAUAAUUUUAAUAUAUGUUAUUAUAAUGCAUAAAUUAAAUUGUAUGGAAAUAUAUUGUAAUAUAUGUAUUAUGUUUUUGGGUGUAUUAUGUUUUUGGGUGGAAGGAAUGUCGUAUAAUGUAUGUAUGUUGUAAACAUGACUUAAGGUUUAUAAUGAUAAUGUAAUAUAUGUGUUAUAUAAGUCAUGUAUGUUGAGACCUUAAAAAGAUUAAUGCAUGGCUUAGUCAUUAAACUUAAGCUGGAGGUGUCAUUGUAUUAGGCCAUUAAGGACACUGCAUAUAUCAGAUAAAUGAAAGAAAGGCUAAGAAGAAUAAACAAUUAUAAGCUUUCUUAUUACUAUCCCUUCUGUUUCAUACAAAGUACUUUUAUGCCCAACUUCUCUAUUCUCAUAUUAAUUACAAACAUAAACAUCAAAUUCUACAAACAAUCCACAAAAUCUUUAAAAAUAUAAGCCAUCAACUUAGGUUACAAAAGAAUUUAUGUAACAUAUUGGCAACAGAAGGAUAAAAUUCAACCUAAAACAAGCUUGGAACAAAGAUUUAACCAAGUUAUCAAACAAGAGAGGUAAGUUCCACUUACUUUCUAAAUUCAUGAAAUAAAAGUAAAUAAUAUAUGUGAUUAUUGUGUUUAGUUGUGGGAGGUUAUGUGUUGGGUAAUCAGAUGGAUUUCGAAGAUUUACUGGUGGAUUGUUGGAGAAUAUGUGGUUAAACAUGUUUAAAUUCUUAUGAAAUCCCGAGUUUUUAAGCUAUGCACACAAAGAGUUUGUUAAAAUGCCUCAAUGAGGCUAUUAUGUUAAAGCAUGAGAAUUCGUUAAAGUUUUGUGCUAGAUAAUGUACAUACAUAAGUUAUAAGAUAACUCAAGUGGUUUAAGUGUAUUGAAACAAGCCCAACAUGAGUUUUAUGAAUUUUCUAUCAAAAUGGUUUCAACCUAAAUUUGUUUUAACAUGGAACUUUUGAGCCUUUGUAUUCGUGCCUUAGAAAACUCUUUUUGGUCAUGUAAUAUUUUUCUAAUAUAUUAUGUAGUAUAAUCUCAAACAUGUACAAAUUUGAAAUUAAUUGAGUAAGAAGAUCACAAGAUAUGAAUUUUCAAAGUGGCUAGAAAAAUAAAAAAUUACUAGGAAUUCUGGGUUCUGGGCAGGGGCUCAGCGCGACAUCGUUGCUCCCAAGCGUUGCAGCGCUGGCUGCCAGCCAGCAUUCCAACUUUCAUUUUUUAUUCCGAUUUUGAUCUUGAGUAGUUAAAUAAUAAAAUAUAUUUUAAUGUGUAAUUAAUCUAUAAUCAGACUAAUAAAUUUAACGUAGUUAGUUUUUUGAUCGAAGUUCGUGGAAUGCGUUUAUGUUAAGCUUUGUAUUGUCUUAAUUAUAUUACAUAGGUAUUAGCGGGAUAAUAACGCUUCGAGUAAGCAAAAACAGAUAGAAUCAAUAACGUUUCAUCGUAGAGGCAAAUAUUUCAACUCUUUUCUAUAAUCAAUUUCUUGAUAAGCAAUCCUUGUCCAAGUAUGAGCUUUUUGCAAAUAUGGUAACUCUGUUUCUAAAUAAGUUUAUUAAAUCAUGGCAUACUUAUGUCCAACCAUUCGAAAUGACAUUGUUAUCCAAUCUUUGUUUGAUUUGAAUCAGAACGAUAUUCUAAUAGUUUCAGUCAAGUAUGAGAUAUUAUUAUAAAUCUAAAGCCAUUUGAUUCGGUUAGAUCAUAGUCGAUAUACGUUCUAAAGGUUCAUAUUUUCUUUGAGAAGCUAAACCAAACCAAAUUGCUUGGUGCAAAUUCCUCUGAUAAAAUUGAGAUGAACAACCCUAUAAAAGGGUACAUGUUAUCGGAGACUAUAGUUUCGAACUCUGCUUAUGCGUUAUAUGUUUGUGUACAAUAUAUAGGUACAAAAGGCUGAUCAUCUGACGUACUAUGUUGAUGGUUUGUCUAUAGUCUUUUGAUCGUUAAAGGUUAUGGUAGAAAUACUAGAUAACCUGGGACAUAGUUUAUGAUUUUGUGACCCUCAGUAUACCUCUAAGUCCAAUAUCUUUUAUAUGCUUCGAGAAUUGAUUAUUCCGAUGGAUUCAAAGUUUUUAAAUAAUUGUUGAUUGAUUCCAAUACAGGUUUUCUCGUUUUGUUGUAGAAUAAUCAUUUGUUUCUUUCAUAAACUGCCUUGUUAUAAGUUAUUAUAUUUGCUGGGAAAUUUGAUUGCUCAUCCUUGUAUAAAACAUUUGAGUUUAAAACAAGAAGUUUGGAGAUCCAUCUAUAGACAAAGGCAAGGGAAAAGUGCAAAAAUACAUGUCUACUAGUCCAUCUUUUGUUUCGAUGUGUAAUAAGUAAAUGAUGUAAAUAUUUGCUUUUAUUAUUAUGUAAUAUUAAAGGUUAGAUAACUUAGGAAGCGACUAUAUGUAUGUAAUCUUUUGUAAGAUUUAUUACUAAUGUUGCUUGUUAUCCUACAUAAUGGGUAUACGUAGAAUAGAUGUUUGUAUGUAUUGGAUCGUGAGCACUGAAUCUGAGGGUAAAUGUACUCAGAAUUGGGGGCAUCACAUCUGCUUAAAUAUUUGAAUGAACCUGUUAAUAGAACUUUCUUUAUGUUCCUUUGGUUUCAACGAUGCAAUUGAAUGUUGUGAUGCCCCUAAUUUUGGGUACCUUUAAACCCCAACAAUGGUGCAUCACGGUACUACCUACUAGGCAUAAUAAUAAAGGCAGAAAUAUAAUUACUAAAUUAUUACAAAUCAUAUUAAUCUAACUUCCCAGGUUCUAAGACCUUUAAAAGUUUGGAAGCAUCAUAAUAUAAUAAUUAUUACAUCAUUUUAUUUAAUAGAUAUCAUUCUUAACUUAAACUAUUACAUAAUAUCUUUUACUUGGAAACUUUUCCUUUUCCUUUGUCUUUCUUACCCGAGUCUUCGCCCCGCUCGAGCUUAGCUUAAAACAUUUUUAUAUAAAGCAAGAAUAAGCUAAAAAGCUCAGCAAAUGUAACAGCUGAAUAAUAACAAAAUCAAGAAUCAUGUUUUUAUUUCAACAACUGAACAAUAGUUGUGAAACUAUCUCGAAUAAAUAGGAAUAAUAAUAAUAAAUUCUCUUUUUAUUUAACAUUUCUGAAACUACAUACUGAGCGGCCAAAAGACCUUGAAAAUUUUAUUUUUCAUAAAAGGUUUAACAGAAAUUCAUCUGUAACAGUCAUUUUCUAUGUACGUUAGAGGAACAACAUAUUGUACUUAUGUUGUGCACAACCUAUUUAUUUUAAACGACUAUUUGCGUUUAUUUUUACACUGCGAAGGCCAGUCGAAAAUUUGACCAAAAUUUUCCCUAAUAAUAGGGUUGUUCAUCUCAGACUUGAGUUAGAGUCCUUACCAAUUUAAUUUGGUUUAGAUAACAUUUAAGAAUUUAAUAAAUUCAAAUCAUGUCUUAACAUGUCUUUAGCCGAAACAACAAGACAUACAUAAUAAAAUAUCGAACUUUAAAUCUUUAAAUAACAUGAAGUUUUAGCAUACCGAAUAACUUAUGCAAUUCAAAAAAUUUAUUGCAUAAGUUUUGAUUUCACACAAUAUAUAAAUAGUGUGUAAAUUGACAUUUUAAUAUAAUCUGUAAAUGAAGCUAAAAAGCUCGUAAAAUAAUAUAAUUUGUAAAAAUAAAACGCGCGAAAGAGUUUAGGAAUACUAGCGUUUUUUAUUAUUUACUUUAAAAAUACUCUUCAAUUAUCUUACACAUUUAAUUAACAACAAUACAUUAAUUAGUCACAUAAAAAUUCCACAUAUUGGUUUACAUCACAUUAUUACUCAUUUUAUAUUAUUCGUGUUUUAUAAUUUAAUUAGCGCGAUAAUUUUCUUUAAAAUCGUCUUGCGGAGUUGCGGCAUUCUGGAACGCCACAACCCUCCUGACCACUCCUUAUGGUGGUUUAUAUCCAUUAAUAUUCAUUUUAUAAUAUUUACCAUUAUUAUUUUUAAUAUUUUUAUUUUUAUUUUUAAGUUGGAAUAUUUUAGAACAAUUGUCAAAAUAUCGCAUGACGUCGCGACACGGCACCUCGACAUGCCCGUGACAUGCAUGACCCCACACAACGUCGCCUAACGUGCCUCAAUGUGCACCAUGUUGCUCGACGUCCCUCAACAUGCUUCGAUAUGCAUCGCAUCGCGCGACGUUGCGUAAUAUGUCCUUACUUGACUGUUCUAACCCCACCUCCUUUGAACCUCAUAACUUGAUCAUUAUAAGUCGGAAUUAGUUCGUUCUUUCAUCCUUUUCUUCUUUGUAACAUCUACUACAAAUCCCUUAGGGAAGAAAUUUUUCCCAGACCCAUUUUCUAGCUGAAACAGUGGCCCAAAAAACCUCUUGAUAACUAACUUUCUAUUUUUGGCAUAUUUGACUUUUCUCCUUCUAAAUGGCAUAACUCCCACCUCCGUACUCGAAAUGAGGUCAUUAUUAUAUCCACGGACUCCUUACUUAACAUACUACAUAACCUCCAAAAUAAAAAAAAUUCCAGCAAGCCAAUCAGAACAGAAAAUUAUCCGAAAGUCAAGGUUCACACUAGUUAUUUUUUGCUUUUAACUAGUUUUACAAACAAAAUCGUCAUGACUUCGUUACAUAAGUUUUUGCUUCCGUUCCAAUAGGUGAUGUUCGUAACUCCUAGGAGCAUAACACAAUACCCUAAGAAUUAAUUUUUACAUUCGGAAGCUCACACAAAAAGCAUUCCAAAAUAGCCCCUAGUCCUCUAUUUAGUCCUUUUUCCAUUCCAUUACGCAUAGGUUUGUAUUUCAUUCUUGGUUCCACUUUUCAUGCAAUUUAACAAGUAGUUUAACAUAUUUAAACUAUAUACACCCUUAUCACUCCAAGAUCAUUCCAUGAUCUUUCAUUAAAACACAUCCACCAACAAAGCAUUUCCUAACAUACUAGAAAGCUUUUAAAAAAAGGAAAAGGAAGAAGUAGUUAGGGGUCUUACCUUUCUUGCUCUUCUUCUUCUUGAUCUUGGAUAGAUGAUCAAAAUCAAAGUUUUCUUCUUUCUCUUUUUCCUCUUGUUCAACCGAAUCCAAGCUCUCUCUCUCUCUCUCUUUUUCUUGCUUUUCUUUUCUCUCUCUUUUCUUACCAGUCUUAAGAAAUAAAGAUGAAAAAAACAAAAUGGCCAAGUGUUGGAUGAUUAAAU